rnacentral:RNase_P_RNA from 2 species
AGAGUAAAUCAGAUGGUCGCUGGUAUGGGGCUGGUAGGCAUACCAGAGGAAAGUCCGGGCUCCGCAGAGCAAGGUGCUGGAUAACGUCCAGUGGGGGUGACCCCAAGGAAAGUGCCACAGAAAACAUACCGCCUGUGCAUGAUGGUGCGAGGAAAUUAUUUCCUCGGAGGUUUUAUCCUCAGCAGGUAAGGGUGAAAAGGCGAGGUAAGAGCUCACCAGUUGUCCGGGUGACCGGGCAGGCUAGGUAAACCCCACCUGGAGCAAGACCAAAUAGGAAAGCGAUUAAGGUAAGUAUAAAAAGAUUACCUUAGAGAGGGCUGCUCGCCCAAGCUUUCGGGUAGGUCGCUUGAGGCAUUGGGUAACCAAUGUCCCAGAGAAAUGACCAUCACCACGAGGUAGCUGGUGGGACAGAAUCCGGCUUAUGGUUUACUCUGGUG